rnacentral:misc_RNA from 1 species
GAUGAAGAACGUAGCGAAAUGCGAUAAGUAAUGUGAAUUGCAGAAUUCAGUGAAUCAUCGAAUCUUUGAACGCACCUUGCACCCUAUGGCAUUCUGAAGGGUAUGCUCGUUUGAGUGUCAUUGUACUCUCACACUCCCGAUCUUUGCAUUGGGAGCAGUGGACUUGGGUUUGCUGCUUCACCGUCGCUUACCUCAAAUAGGUUAGUGCAACUCUUGGUUGGACAUAGUACGGCGUGAUAAGUGUUCUUCGCCGGUGCCUCGCAAAGAGGGUGGCCGAUCGGGAUGUUGUGCUCCAAACCGUCUUCGGACAAUCUCUGACGACUUGACCUCAAAUCGAGUAAGACUACCCGCUGAACUUAAGCAUAUCAAUAAGCGGAGGA